rnacentral:rRNA from 1 species
UGGGGAAUAUUGCACAAUGGGCGAAAGCCUGAUGCAGCAACGCCGCGUGCGGGAUGACGGCCUUCGGGUUGUAAACCGCUUUCAGCAGGGACGAAGGUUUUCUGACGGUACCUGCAGAAGAAGCACCGGCUAACUACGUGCCAGCAGCCGCGGUGAUACGUAGGGUGCGAGCGUUGUCCGGAAUUAUUGGGCGUAAAGAGCUUGUAGGCGGUCCGUUGCGUCGGAAGUGAAAACUCAGGGCUUAACCCUGAGCCUGCUUUCGAUACGGGCGGACUUGAGGGAUGUAGGGAGAACGGAAGUUCCUGGUGGAGCGGUGGAAUGCGCAGAUAUCAGGAGGAACACCAGUGGCGAAGGGCGGUUCUCUGGACAUUUCCUGCACGGCCUGAGAAGCGAAAAGGCCNUGGGGGAGCAAAACAGGCUUAGAUACCCUGGUAGUCCACGCCGUAAACGGUGGGCACUAGGUGUGGGACCCAUUCCACGGGUUCCGUGCCGUAGCUAACGCAUUAAGUGCCCCGCCUGGGGAGUCGGCCGCAAGGCUAAAACUCAAAUGAAUUGACGGGGAUCAUAGCUGUUU